ensembl:lncRNA
CUCUGUGUGUUUUUGGUGUCAGGGGAAGGCUGUUGUGUUCUCACUGGGGAGGAGGGUGUUAUCUAGAACUGAGGUAGAUAGUAUGUUGAAGGUUUUUGUUGAUGAGGAAUUUCAUUUGGGUUGGAAGGACCACAGGAAUGGGAACUGAGUAUGAGUGGUAGGAGAGCUUUCCUUAGUCUGGGCUGCAUCCUGGGAGAAGGAUGGGAGCGUGGAGGUUGCUUCAGAAAAGGAUGGAAACAUUGUAUCUGUAGUCAGGAAGCAGAGAAAGAUGGGUGUUGUUUCUAAGCUUCCUUUUUUCUUUGUAUGCAGUGCAAGCCUGAGCCCAGGGAAUGGUGGUGUCUAUAUUUAGGGUGGGUCUUCCCUCCUUAUUAAUCUAAUCAAGAUACUUUAUCAGAGACAUGCCUGGUGACUAUUUCCUGGAUGGUUGUAGAUACUAUCAGAUUGACAGCUAAUAGUAUGCAUCACAGCUGGUCCCUGGACGCUUUAACAUGGAAUGGUGGGUGUUGAGUUGGUGCAGAGGUGACGGUUGUUGAUCAAGAACUUUGGAUUUAGCUGGAGUUUUUAAUUUAUGGAGCUAGAGUCCACAGAAAGUGUAUGUGUGUAAUUUACCACAUGUCAGUGAAGACAGAGAGGAUAGAGAAUAACUAGAUAUAUGAAAAUGGGUUGAACAAAACUGCUUAGGUGUCCUUGAAGACUACAUAUGAAGGAGGAUACACUACGCCAUUGUGAAAGCAUUAGGCAUUCUCUUGACUCUGCAGUACCGGGGUGAAUUUGGAACAUCCCAAGCACAUCAGUGUCCCCAUGGAAAUGGGGAAAAAAAUAACAUACAAUGUGGUGGUUGGUGUUCACACCAAACAUCGGAGGCCAGAAUCAGUGGCCUUACACCUCCAGAGAAUGUGUCCUUAAGGAAGACUGAGCAUUGAACUUUGUCCCCCAGGAAGGAAUCACCUCAUUUCUUAUUUUGUUAUCAUUUUGGUAAGGCUGGAUAGACAAAUCCCUUGUUGUAAAGAUGACAUUCUGCUGGUUGAUGUUUUACCCUUGUUGGAUGGUAUGUUUGAGAAGCCUUCUGGUUUUCUGUCUGAACAGGAAACUGGAGACCUUGCAGCUGGGCACCUCUGACCUGAUCCUCUUUGCAGUGCUCCCCAUCCUGUGGCGAGCUCCUCUCCUAGCUGGCACUCUCUCUUUCUCUUUGGGGAAGUUGGGAGGCCAUGACGCUUGUACAAGUUUUGGCAGUGCAGCUGAGGGGUUACCUUCAGAACCUGUGUGGAGGACUCUUGGAAAACUUGUAUCUGGGAAUGUGAGGGCCUUUCCCUUUGGAAAAGAGUCAGACAGAAGGUGUCUCUAUAGAGGGGCUCUUCAGGGACUAUGAAGUGUCCUCUUAGCGAUUCUGUGUGGAAGUCUGUAGCCCUGACAAGGGGUUCAUGUGUGGCAGAUUUCAAGCAGGUCAACUCUUCCGGAAUGUACUUUGGGAUCAUAAAGUGUAUUAAAAGGAAGUUUUUGUUGUUUUCUCCUCCAUUAUUUGCCUGUUUUAGUGGAGAUGAGGAAAUGAAAAACUUGCCAUCUGAAGUGAGUGCUUCGCCGAAAGGUGACACAGAAAUGACAUAGAAUAAGUAAGGCACUACAUGUGCACAUCUCCAGGUUAAAAGUCAGGCUUUCCCAUCACAGCCUCCUCACUUCUUCCCAGAUCCUCCCCACUGCCUUCUGAUCUCCACAUGUAGACAGCCCUUAUCAUAGGGAAUUUCUCUAAAUUUAGAACGUUGGUUCUCCCUUAUCUUGUGAUGUUGAUUGUGGCCAUCGUAUCAGGAGCCUCCACAGUUGGUUAUUUAAGGAUGGGAUUAUUAGUUCGGCUUUUCAUCUCCUACUUGAACUUUCUUGUGACUGAAAUAAAGCUUAGGCAGCCUCUGGCCCUACCCUGACUGAUGAUGAAUGACGCAUGUUCUGCGUGUACCUGAAUUGGAAACUUAGAGGUUUUGACCUUUCUGGGGAGGAUCAAUUCCCGCUGAUGACAUAAUUGAGGACUACAGCUGCAACAAAUGUAGAAUGUGGGGACUGAAUUCAUGAACUUUUUUUUUUUGAAAAACAAGGAAGGUAAGCAGACUCUUCCAUUUAGAGAAUACAGAGGAGCUACAGAGUUUUUUUUUCUUGAAACCAUAUUAAUAUCUGCAUUUCUUUGUCUUAUUACCCAAACCUCAAAGCUGUACUUUAGCAUUAUGUGUCAGAAAGGUAAAAGUGACAUUUGAGAUGUUCUAGAACAAGACAGAAAAGAACAGAAGGACACAUUCAUUCCUUGUAUUCAGUUUUGAGGUUCUUGCUGUGUCAGUUUGUCUUGUUUAGCAAAAUGAAGAGGUAAUGAUACCAAAAGUGAUUUCUUUUCCUUCUUGUCAUCCACCUUCUUUAUAAAGCGAGUAUUUGUAAGAGAAAUGUCUCCCCAGUUCCCUAUUAAAUUGUAAAACAUAUAUGAUCUAGUGAGAGAAGCCAACUACAGCAUCUAAGACAGUGGAGCAUCCCUUAACUAAUUCUUUGGUGGAAGAAGGUGGUAAUGGCAGAAAAGGUCCCUUUGAAACUCAGUAAACGAAAUAUCAUGGAGUAAUUCCACAGUCACCCUGGUGUUAAUUCAGACUCCAACUCUCAUCUAGGUCUGCUUUGGCUCCCACAAUGUUUAUCUUCAUUCAUUGGCUGCCCCUGUGAUGCUACCCCACCCCCACUCUGAUGUCCUGGACACUCUCCUUUUUCUGUGGCCUCUGCCACCAUGCCUGUCCCCAGUCACUCUCCUAAAAUUCCACUCCUGGCUGUUUUCCUCUCCUAUAAAUCAGGCUCUUGGGCAUAGUUUUUUGGCUCUGUCCUGACUGCAGCAUCAAACAUAAUGUGGUUUAGCGGGUACCCAACCCCAAUGCAUUAAUAUUCAGAUGGUUUAGUGAGUGGAGGCCAAAGCCAAACCAGAAAACCAACAGUAGCCAAAUACAUACUAGAAAACCAACAAAGUGGGUGCUGAAGAAUGGAAGGGGUUCCACAGGGAAUCACAGUCCUCGACCCCCAGGAGGCACUGCUUGCUGGUUAGGAUUUUCUUGGUGCAGGGAAAUAUGAACACAGCAUCAACGCACUUAGUAGGAGUGGGGACCCUUAAACACUGUGUGGAGGGCUUAGUGGAGCUGAGCCAGGGAAGGGAGAUUGGGUCAGAGCAUGUGUCCUAGAAUGGCUUGUUUGGUAGAGUUCAGGUGACUGUCUAUUGCAGGGGAUGAGCUGUUGGGUCUGGCUGGCUUCCACCAUUAAUCAUUGCCCGACCUUAAGCAAGCCCCUGGGUUUCUUUCUUCAUCUGCAAUGUGACAAGAUAACUCGUGUUGUAAAGAGAUUGAAGAGGAAAGGGAGUUUGGCUGUGAGAUCAGUAAGGAUGACUUUUGAUCAGCUGCUUCCUGACUGAGUGUUGCCUGCAGUAGGCAAUGGGUGGAUGCAUAGAUGGAUGGAUGCAUGUCUUGCUGGAUGCAUGGAUGUUGGAUGCAUGGAUGGAUGGAUGGAUGGAUGCAUAGCUGGCUGGCUGGAUGCCUGCUGGCUGGAUGCAUAGAUGGAUGGAUGGAUGGAUGGAUGCAUAGAUGGAUGGAUGCAUAGCUUGCUGGAUGCCUGCUAGAUGGAUGCAUAAAUGGAUGCAUGCGUGGAUAUUGGAUGCAUGGAUGGAUAGAUGGAUGCAUAGAUGGAUGGAUGCAUGGAUGCUUGGAUGCAUGGAUGGAUGGAUGCAUAGAUGAAUGGAUGCAUGGGUGGGUGCAUGCAUGGAUGCUAAUAUGAUAUAUAGAUGUGAAAGCCGUUGAGACACAAAAUAAAUCUGAGGGUAUAGGAAUGAGCAAGUCAAUUUUGUUCCUUGUCCAGAACUCUCAAAAGAGUUUGGUCUCGAGAAGCUUACAACCUUAACACUUCUAAAUACAGUGUUUUAAUGUUAUUUGUUGAGAAUUUCAUACAUUGAUCAGUAUAUUUCAGUAUAUCCACUUCACCCCCUAUAUUUGUUCUAAGAAUCCCUUGAAUACAGUGAAGCCUACUUAUGGGUGAGGGGCCACCACUGCAGCAUGGUCCACUCACUAGGGACCACACCCCUAAAGAAAACCCUCCCCUAGCAGUUUUCAACUGUCAGAAUCUUCUCAGCUACAGGCAGGGGCUUCAGUGCCCUACCACAUCCGUGCUGGAAUCUUGAGUGGUUUGCUCUUCUGCUGGACACCAACUGCACUGAGUUUGGGAGUUCAACGACCAUAUCAUGAGCACAUGUCAUUGUUCUGACCCAAUUCCUUCCGACCUUUGGCUCUUAAACUCUUUCCACCUCUUUUCUUUCCAAUAUUCCCUGAGCGUUGAGGGAACUUGAUAUGGUGGGAGCAUCUGUGGCUGAGCUCUCCACAGAGAGUUCGGACUAGUUACGAAUGUGUAUUAACUACCAUCCAGUGUAUGAAGAUCCUCCCCCAAUGACCACCGAGAGCUGUGUUAAUCUAUGAGCUUGUAACUGAUGUUCCCGAAAUUAUGAAAGGUGCUUAUGUCAGAGUUAAAUGGCCGAGCCAUAGUCAAUACAGCUCUGAAGUAUGGAUACAGGGGUGAUCUCUUAUGCAGAGUAGAUAGGGUGUUUCUUACUUGGAUUUCAUGUUACCUGGUUGUUUGUAUUUUGGUUCAUUUUAUCAGUCACUCAGGGUUAAAGCUCAUUCUGCCACUCUCCCACAAUUUUGAUAUUUCUGGAAAGCAUCAAAGGAGACAGUGAAGAACCGGAGUGAAUGGAUGACAGUGUUUGUGUCUGUGUGUGUGUGUGUGUGUGUGUGUGCGCGCGUGCAUGUGCAUGCAUGUGUGUGAGCACAGACACACGGGCACACACAUGCACAUGCACAGCAGCUUCUUAUGGCUAUGCAGGUACCAAUUCUCAUUCUAAUACUCUGUGAUUCUUGGUCCUUCCCAGAUGCUGUUGGUGUCCAGGAGAUCUGCCUUUAAAAAUCAUAGUAUUUCAAGCACUCAGUCCUAUUUCCAAGGGCUCUACAUACAAGUGUCCCCUCCUGUUCUGUGAAUCGUACAGGGUCUUGGUCUCCAUCUCACCCGCUGUGUAGUCUAGACUCUAGAACAGACUUAGCAGUUGGCCUCUAUCCUUUCUCCUCUAACCUCUUACCCUCUAGCUUAAAGACUCUCUCUCCCCAGGUUGUACCUAGAGCCCCUUGGAAGGAGGGCUGAGUGCUUGAAAUACUACGAUUUUUAAGACACAGGCGUGUGCCAGAAAGGAGCAGCGUGAGACAUGACCAGAGUGAUUGACAGAUUUGGUGUGCCUCACGCUUAAUAAAAUGAGUCAAACUACAGACAAUGGAAUAACAUAAAAUGCAAGUCAGAAUUAUCCUACCACUACUCUGAGUGACAACUCUGCUACCUCCCCUUUCAGAGUGGGUUUUGCCUCCCAUUCAGUGUUUCCAUACUUAACACUGUCUCCUAGGCUUCUUUCCUCCAGAUUCUGUCAGUAUCGUUGUCUUAAGGGUUGAAACAUUGCAUCACACAUGCCCAGCAUUGAGGACAACAUUUGUAAACAAAGUAGCUCAGGAUCAUGCUCCUAGCUCCCUCUGGAUGCUUUGCUGAACCCCUCCAAGGAGAAGGACAUUUUCCUAGUCCUGGAAUUUCUUCUUCCAACAGAAGUCAUACAUUAUUCAUGUUUGCAGGCCUCUUCUGAAACAUAUGCAUAUUCAGGUAGAGAAGAGAGUAGUUCCUGGGAAAGGAUUAGUCACAGGCAGGCCAGCAUGGCUGUUCUGUUUUGUGAUACAGUUUUUCUUUCUAGGAGACAAAUUCUAUCUGUGAGCAUUCAAAAUGACCUCAGUGUGGAGGGUAAAUUAACUGUUUAGAUUCCCCCCAGGCACUGUGGCAAACGCCAGGAUAUUGAUUUAUGUCUCAUUAGAAGGCAUUUAUUUUGCUCCAUGCUUGCAAAAUAAAUGUACUUUCCUACUCUUUGAAGCUUUGAAGCUUUGAAGCUUUGAAGCUGUCCACUUCCAAACUCAAGAGGUUUCCCAGCUGCAAUGCCCCUGCUGUGGGAUGGGCUGGGGCUCCAGGGUCUCUUCUUACUGAUUGGUUUCAGUUUUUAAAAUUACAUUACUGUGUGGGAGUUGGGUGUUGGAGGCAGCUGGUGGGGAGGAGUCUGGGUCGGAAUCCAGUGUGUAAGAGUUUGUGCUCUCAGACUACCACGUGGAUUCUGGGUAUAGCUCUCAGCUUUUGUAGAUAAGUGGCUUUUCCUGCUGAAUCAUUUUAUCAGCCUGGAGUUUUGUCUUCUGUGGUAUGUUCUAUUUGCAACCCUAAUUUCUAUAAACACCAACUGAGGGCAAGAGUUGAAGCUCUGCUGGUAGAACACUUGCCUUGCGGACACAAAGCCCAGAGUUUUGACCUUGAUGCCAUACAAACAGGGUUUAGUAUCACAGCUGGUAUCCCAGUGUUUGGGAGGUGCAGGCAGGAGGAAUAGAAGCUCAAGGUUAUCCUCAGCUACAUGUGACUGUGUCUCAAAAAAAUGAAAAGAAACCUUAGCAAUUGAAUAUAGCAAAUCACAGAAGGGACGAACACUGACCUGACUUGGGGAGGAGAGGGUAUAUUUGGUUUACUGUCCUGGGUCAAACAGUGCAUUAGGGGAGCCAAGGCAGGAACUAAAGCAAGACAGGAACCUAGAAGGAGGCAGAAACUGGAGCAGAAGCCAUAGAGGAACAUUAUUAUUGGCUUGGUUCCUCUGUUACUCAGCCUGAUUUCUUACACAACCAGAGAUGGUACCCUAGGGUGGUAUCACCCAUAGUGAACUGCUCUUCCUCCCACCAAUCAUUAACCAAGAAAACGCCCCUCCCCCCAGACUUGCCUUCAGGCCUAUGUGAUUGAGGCAAUCUCUUCUCAGGUCUGCAUCAGGGUGACAAAAUCCAGCCAGUACAGCAGAGUAUCAUAAAUACACUUGGGUAGAGGUAGUGGCCAGUGGACAGUGCACAGAAUGAGAGAGAGAAAGAGAACUUAAGAAAACCUCAACUCUCUUCAUUAUUGCAGUAGAAACCUAGACUAGAAUGAUGAAUACUUGCCCCAGUGAACAAAGAUCUUGUUAUAUGAUUCAGUGGAUCUUAAUACUUCUCUUUAGCCAUUUCCUCUUAUUCUUGAUUGUGGACUUUUGAGGAAAUUACAUAGUCUGGGACAAUUUGAGCUUUGGUCUUUCAUGCAAACACAGGAUUGAUAUCAUUGGCUAGGUCCUGCUUUCCAGAGUCUUUUUUUUCCUCCCUCUUUAUUAAAUUGGGUAUUUUUUAUUUACAUUUCAACUGUUAUUCCCUUUCCUGGUUUCCAGGCCAACAUCCCCCUAACAUCUUUCCCCUCCCACUCUAUAUGGGUGUUCCCCUCUCCAUCCUCCCCCAUUACCACCCUCCCCCCAACAAUCACGUUCACUGGAGGUUCAGUCUUGGCAGGAUGAAGGGAUUCCCCUUCCACUGGUGCCCUUACUAGACUAUUCAUUGUUACCUAUGCAGUUGGAGCCCAGGGUUAGUCUUUGGGUAGUGACUUAGUCACCUGAAGCUCUGGUUGGUUGGCAUUUUUGUUCAUAUGGGGUCUCAAGACCCUUCAAGCUCUUUCAGUCCUUUCUCUGAUUCCUUCAAUGGGGAGGUCCCGUUCUCGGUUCAGUGGUUUGCUGCUGGCAUUCACCUAUGUAUUUGCCAUAUUCUGGCUAUGUCUCUCAGGAGAGAUCUACAUCUAGUUCCUGUCAGCCUGCACUUCUUUGUUUCAUCCAUCUUAUCUAGUUCGGUGGGUGUAUAUAUAUGGGCCACAUGUGGGGCAGGCUCUGAAUGGGCGUUCCUUCAGCCUUCCAGAGCCUUCCUAACCCAAGCUUUCUCUUAGGGUUAGGAGUCGUCUUACACAUGGCUGUCCUCUUCACAGCAAGCAUACCAUUGACACUGAGAUAGUAGGUGACUGAGCUGGCAAGAGUAGUGCCACAUCCCAGCAGAAGAUCUUGAGUUUCAGGAUAGCUGGGACUAUCUGGUGAGACUCCUCUGAGAAAAGAGAUUCUUGGGAACUAAGAGGGGUUCAUGGUCUACUCUACAGAGAAAAUGAAGAUCUGUUCCCAAAUACUGAGCCUCAUUUUGACUAAUACAUUUGUAUCUCACCCAAGUUGAACUUUUGCUCAAAAAAUGUUUUAGACUUGGUCAUUAAAAAGUACUGAUAGAUCUAUCAUCCUCUGUCACUAAUACAUUAGUCCAAGUGAAUCACAGUACACAGAGAUGUUUGGAGGACAAAGUUUCUUGUUAGCAUGAAAUUCUUGCCCUGGCUUUGCCAACUUUUGGCUGUAUGAUCUGAAGAUUAGCUAACCUCUCAAAACCAACUUUUACCUCACUAAGAUCUAGCACAGCUACCACCCCUAUCUUGCAGAGCCCAGUGAAGACUGAUAAACACUGGUGUAGGCACGGCUUGUAGAAAUCAGUACUAUUUAAGUGUUUUAGGAAUUGUAAGCUUAAGUAAGCUUGAGUCCGAUUUAAGUGUUCAUUCAUGUAGAGAAAGCAUAAAAUAUUCUUGCAUUCCAUGUUUGCUCUCAAGACAGCCAGGUUUUGACAGAAUAUUUGAUUUGGGCUUCUGGAGCAGACAUAUAACCUGAUGAGUUAGUGUUCUAUACACAAUGCCAGACAAAAGGCAGCUCAUAACAAAGUUCCUGUAUGGUAUUUAUCUCAGUUACUUAGAAGCUUUGCUUCUGCUUGACAUAGCAGGCAAAGUUUGACUUUGAUCGUUAAAGUCUUUUGAAUUCGAAAUAAAUUCUGAAGGAGGAUGAACAGACUGGUUAUAAUCCACUCUUUCCUCUGUUCUUAGACUAAGGAACCUGGGGAUUCCUGGGGUGUGGGCUUUUCACAUCAGCAGCAGGCUGGCCCUGGACAAUGUCUGUCCAGCUAAGGUCAGAGGUGACCAUUCCACAGUCUGCUCCUCAGUGCUGGAGCACUCCUUUAACCAUGCUGCAGCCCUGGAAAUGUGUACUGAGGACAGUUUCAAUUAUUACAAUGAGAAUGGAGAGGAUGUAGACUACCCACCAAUUGAACCAGGAGAAUGGAUGUAUUGAUGUGUCUUGCAAAUCAAAGGCUAAUCCAAGCUGUGUGGAUGUUGGCACCAUGUCUCCAGAUUCUGAUCACGCUUCUCCUUUGCCACACCCAGCCCCUGGUAAUUGGCCAUCCUACCUGGAAACAGAAUCGGCUUCUUUGGUCCGAUAAAUUAAACACGGGCCACCUGUGGGAGAGGUAGAGGUCCUGGAUUUCAAGGACACAGUAUUGCUUUUGGAUCCAAUGGGCACCAGAACCCCAGCUCCUCCACAGGCAGAUGCAGCUUUUUUAACUCCAGGCAGGAAAGACCUUGGGAACAGAAACACCCAGUCCUAUCCAGUGCCUUCAGAGCCAGAUGUUCCUGUCGCUCCUUUGGAAGGAGAAAUCCUUCCUAAUUACCCCGAGUCUAGUCACAUGCCACCCCUGAGUGUAUGUGGUAGGACUGGAGGACCACGUGAGUUCUAAAGCUCAUGGCAAGUGCAUUGAAAAACUGGGCAUUUGAGGUUUUGUUUAAAGAAAAUAUAGCAGAGUUGACAAACUAGACAUGGUCAUUCCCCUGGGCCCAUCCCUGUACCAGGCAGGCUGGGACAGGCUGGGGCAGGCUAGGGCAGGCUAAGGCAGGCUGGGGCAGGCUGGGGCAAGCUAGGGCAGGCUGCAACAGAAAGAUUGUCUAGGUUCAAGAGUAGCCUGGGCCAUAUAGAGAAUUCUAGGCCAGCCUGGAUUAUAUAGCCAGCUCUCCUCCCAAGUAUAAUGAAAAAUUUUGGUUUGCAAGUUCAGAGAAGGUGAGCCAUGUCGAGGCUUCAUAGGCAUUGCAGGAUGGAGGGUCCAGCCAUUUAGCUUUGACUGUGGUAGUUACCUGUGCAGGCUUAGGCAAACAUGCUGAAGAGCCUUCGGGAGAGAACAUGGUAUAGACACCUAUGUCUGCUAUUAGUUCUGGUUCUUGUCCCCACAGCUGUGGCCUUCACCUCCCCUGAACCACCUUAUCCUGGUUCUGUGACUCACUAGCACUAAAGGUAGCAGGAAGAAGGCAGGGGAAUGCCCAGAGGGAACAACUUUUCAUCCAACAGUGAUGGACUGGGAAACUGGACCUAGAUUCAUCCUCCCCCACACCUAUCUCAAUGAUCUCUGCCAGGAAGAAGUGGUCACACCUCUCUCCACAGCAUUUCAACUUCACAGUUUUUCUGUCAGUGUUUUUUUUUUUCUUUUUUUCUUUUUUUUCAGAGCUGGGGACCGAACCCAGGGCCUUGCGCUUCCUAGGCAAGCGCUCUACCACUGAGCUAAUUCCCCAACCCCUCUGUCAGUGUUUUGACAAAAACAUUAACCUAGCAAAGAGGACCUUCUGGUUCUGCUGGGACAUUUUCUGCAGGUUCAGGAGUUGUUUGGAGAAAUAGUUCAGGAGGGAAGAAAACACUUCGUGUUUAACAGAGUAUAGAGUAAUAGUUAGGGUAGGAACGUUGUUGUCAAGUUUGAAUCUUGGCCAUGGUAAGGCAACUUAUUUCACCCCCAAGUCUCUGAUUUUCAUUUAUAAACGUAUUGCCAGGAUUUGUUGUUAGUAUAUGUUAUGUUUUGAGUGCCUGCAUUAGUUGGUUCCUUAGAAGACAAUUACGGCCAUCGUUACUAAUCUUUAGAGGAUUUAAAACAUAUCAAACUGGAGGAUGAGUGGGGGCGAGUGAACAGCUGGGCUGGAAAACAGAGAAAUUGAAAACAGAAAGUCUCUUUAAAAAGCUUGUCCUUCCUGGCUCCUUUUCUCCUUGUUGAAGUUUGCUGAGCAUUUGUUUUUGUAAAGCCAAAGUUGUGGAUUUCUUUUAAACGUUCUAGAACAUUCAAAUUCUUCUAACAAUCUCCAAAAAUAUUCAGUGUGAGUUCUUUCUAUCUAAAGAGAUUUAAAGGCACGAAUCAAAAGUUUCCUCAAAGGGAUUUUGUGUUGCAGAUGUGUUUCUGAGUGGCCUUUUGUUGGGGGUUGUAUUUUCCCGGCCCAGGAAGAGCACACAGUUAUUGGAAAGUAGGUCUAUGUACAGUUGUCUGAAAUCUGAGCGGGCUAUGGCCAAGCACAAAACUGUAAACUGAUCUAAAACCUUCAGAGAGUUUUCUUUUGUAACUCGGUCAUGGUUCUUGAAGCGUGAACUUUGUAGAUGACAAUGUGUCACAGUGUCAAAGGUUGUGCGUGGCUGUUUAAGAGUGCAGAAAUAGAACCAGUCACUGGGAACUGAGGGUAACAGCAUAACACAGGCGGGACAUGAUCUGUGGUAUUUAAUCAGCUGCCAAAUGUAGUCAAUGCUGACAUCUAAAUGCUAGAAUGUUUAUGAAAAAGACAUUCAGGGGGAGAUUGUCCAACUGGAAGCUUUUAAGUCUUAGAGGAGAAAAAUACUUUUAAAUUUUAUUUAAAAAAAAUAUUUAUGUGUGUUCAUGUGUACAAGUUCAUGUGUGGGAAAGCCUAGCACUUAAGAAAGAAUGUUUGGAGAGCUAUGUGAAGCAUAGAAACAUGUAGUUGUUAUUAUUUAUGUUCAGAGGAAACACUGGUGUCCCGUAGGUUUAUCUGGCAGAUGUGGGCUUACUCUGGGCAGCUGUUGACAUGGGGCUGAGACCUUCUAGUACCAGCUCAAGGUAGGAAAUCUGCGGCUUCUGGUAGUGGAUGGAUUUGAGUUCCCCCACAGCUCUGUUGUGCAGUUUGAAGACAGAUGCUGUUUGAACCUUAUUUUCUGAAUACAGAGCACCCUUCCCAAUAAAUUUUAAGUUCCCCUUUAAGCAUAUAGGAUUGGGUUUGCUGAGUCAGGGAAUUAGGAUUUUGUUAAAGGCUCAGAAAAUUUCUCUGCUUUUUAGUAUUGUUUUCAUUAGGGUGUGUGUGUGUGUGUGUGUGUGUGUGUGUGUGUGUGUGUCUGUGUCUGCGUCUGUGUUUGUGUGUGUGUCUGUACACGCCUGCCUGCCUGCCUGUGUAUAUGUAUAUGUGUUGUUUCCACCCCAUGGGAAUAAGAAUAGGAGCUGUGCUCUGAAGUGGCACCCAGGGCAGCUUAUGGAGCAUGAUGGUAUAGACAGGUUCCAUGCUGCUACCCUGAGCAGUGUUUCUUUGUCCUGAGAGCUGGCUGCAGCCCUGCUCAUAUUGGGAGCUUACAAUUCCAGGCUGCAGUAGGUUUUUGGUUGUCACAGCAGAUAGUAUCUGCAUUCUCACUGCCAGGGAGGUGGGCUCCAUUUGCAGAGAGAGAGAUUCAUGGGGAAAGGCUGCAGUGCAUUUGUUAGUCUCAGUAGAUUGAGCAGCUGUGAACUUUCCCUUCACUAAGGCCAUCCCUAACUGAACCCUCAGGAACUGUUCCCUACAGCUUUUACUCUGGACUGAGCUCACCCUCCCUGUUGCCUGCCCUGAUCCUCAGCUUCCACCUGGUUCCCAGCAGCUACACAAACAGACCAGUUCUUUUAGUCUGGGGCAGGGAUUUUUUUGCAGCUUUCAACCUGGAGUAGCAAGCGCUGCUGAGGUGCUGGGGUCCUCGAAGCUGGGAGAACUGAAGUAGAGGAGGAAGGUUCGGCCCAAGGUCGCAAGCUCUGGGCCAGGGUGUAGUGGUCUCACAGGUGGCCAUUUCUGAGCAUCAUCUCCGCUGCUGUUUCUCACCCCCUGGCUUCUGAUACUCGCAGGCCGCUUCUGACAUUCCCAUAGCGACGCAGGAUGGGGAGGGGCCUGUGGACAGCAAGGAGACACACCACCCAAUCUGGAUCAGGCGACCCAAGGGCGUCUGUUAGCCCCACCUCCGCCCUCUCCCCCAUUUCCCACCCCCAGACUGCAGCCAAGGUGCUAAAGUGGUUCUAGCUGUUGGAGGGGUCCUGCAGCUGUGAUAGGCUCCUCCUCUCCCGCCCCUCCUCCCCACCCACCUUUAAGGCCCUCCUGGGAUAACUGUCCUCCUCUGGGGCCCUGCACCUACUCCCAGCCAUGGUGGCCAGCCUCACUGCUCUCCUCGUUUACCUCGUUUUCUCCUUGGCCAUCCUGGGCGAGACAGGUAAGGUGAGUGAGGGCUGGGGCACCCGGGGACCCCGCCCUGGUGCCUGGGGGUCGCUCAGUGCAUGAGAGGCUUUGUCUCUACCUGGCUGGCCUGAGGUGUGGGGUCGGGGUAGGAAUAGGGAGACCCCACAUCAGGAGGGGAAAAAUGGCUUCAAGAAAACACUGCAAUUGUAGUUGAUUCAAAGGAGCAUUAUGCUUUGAGCUUUCUAAAAAUGAAGGCAGACCCGACCAGUGAGAAACAUAGGUUUAGGCAAACCAAACUUGGCCUUAGCACUGACUUCUAGCAAGGUUUAUGUCCCAUAUAAGGAACACUGGGAAAGAGAACUCCUUACCCAGGUCAUUAUGAUAAAUGAAUGAAUGAAUGAAUGAAUGGAUGGAUGGAUGGAUGGAUGGAUGGAUGGAUGGAUGAAUGAAUGAAUGCAGAAAUGGUUUUCCUAAGGCAACUCUGCUGGUGUUGGUACAAGAACCUUUCAGUGAGCUACAGAGAAAUGGCCAGUCUGGGUUCUGGGUUGUAGGAACUGAUGCUGCAGAGGGUGAAGACAGCCAACACUUGUAUCUCUGCGAUGGCAAUAUGGUAGAGGAAGAAACCCAGCACAAACGUCAGAUCUAUGUCAUGGACUGCUAUGGAGGGAAGAAAGCAAACAAUCACAGGGAUAAAGAGUGGCUUAUGAUUUUAGUCUCCCUUUGGGGAUAAAAUUUUUAUUGUCUAGUGGCCUUUUGUAGAGAAAAGUAUCCAGUAGCCCACCUUGAGGUUUGUGUCCCACACACUGCGGGAGAUGCCUGAGACUGUAAAUGUCAAUAGUUUUUCAUUGCUGAGUUGAAACACGAAGCCCUGUGCAUGGUAGAUAAUUGCAUCUUAUAGCAUGGAGGUUUUGAAACUAGACUGUGAAUGCCCUUAGCUUUUCCUGCUUUGAAGUGAGAGAGAUGGGAGAAGCUGGUAGAGGCGAAGUCAUACAGUGAUUAAUUGGCGGCUAGUGUUUGCUCCCAGGAUUCUAUGACUCCACAGUCACCAUCUUAAAACACGUGGCAUAAUUCAUUUAGACCUGGAGGUUGCCCCACUUCUAACCUUCUGUGGCUUUCUGAAAACGAGUUUUCUAAACCCGUUCAAUCAGUCCACAAAAUGACUAAUAUUCACAAAAGACAUCUCUGGUCCAGGAAUGUGUCCAUCUUAGAUCAAGUACUACUCCCUGCGUGUUUUUGUGCCCAUCAUAUUUCUUCCAUCCUUGUUUGCUUGCUUCCUUUUUUUAAAAGACAGAGUCUCAAAUUUGCUCUGAUUUCAAAGCUGGCCUUGAACUCUUGAUCCUCCUGCCUCUGCUUCCUGAGACCUAGGCUUACAUUCCUGAUUCUCUUGCCUCUCCCACCUGAGACCUGGAGUUACACUUACGUGCAACCAUGUCUGACAUGCAUCUUGGUUUGAAUCAGCAUUACAACUGUUUAGGUUAGAUAAUCCUCACUUCCAAGUAAGGGGACUGUGGCUACACAUCAGAAAGAAAAGCAGGGUUCAACCAGAUAAGAACACUGCUCUGUGACCUUUUUGUUUUGUUUCGUUUGACCUAAGAAUAGUGAACCAGAAGUAUUUUUGCUUUAAAGGUAGGGACCUAAUUUUUCUGUAGUGGGGUCCAGGGAGCUCUGCCCCAGUGUCCUUUAUUCUUGUUCCUGGUCCUCACUAAUGGGUUGUACCUGAACAACCCUAGAAGGCAUGCAAAAGGUUCCAGAAGGACUUUGGAACUCCUGGAGGGUUCUAAAGUCCCUCCAGGCGCUAGGAAGUAGCAACACAUUUUAGCUCUCAAAAGUUGAAAGGGUGAUUAAAAUGUCACUCUAUAGAGACAAAGGGGAGUUAAUGGUAAUGUGUUCUACCGCUUCUGAAACAUCCUUUGAGGACAGGUGCAUCACACACAUGUAUGCCACGGACCAACCUGGGAAGGUUGCCACAGUUAUCUGCUCUGACACUCAACGUACAUAGUGAUUUGUUUCAAACUGCUUUGCAAUUCUAUCUCGCCAUAGUCAGGACCAUCCAAUCAGAUAGACAGCUCUCAAUGGACGAAGUAUAAAUGGCUAAUAAAUAUUUGAGGAAAUGUUCAAUAUCCUAGGUCUUUGGGGAAAUGCAAAUUAAAAUUGCUUGAGCUUAGAAUGGUGUUGAUGAGGAUGGGGUGAGGGCGGCUUACUCAACAUUGGUGCAGCCACUGUGGAAAUUAGUAUGCGGUUCCUCAAAAUCUGUGAAUAGAACUCCCAUAUGAUUCAGCUUCACCACUCCUGUACCUAAAGGAGCUUAGGUCAACAGACCAUGAAGAUAGCUGUGCACCAUGUUUGUGAUCAUUUCCAAUAGCUAGGGAAUGGAAUCAGUCUAGACUCCCAUCAGUUGACAGGUAGCUAAUGACAAUGUGGUACAUACAUGUACAUAAUGGAGUUUUGAGACGAUUAUCAUUAUCAUUAUUUUUAUUGUUAUUUUACUAUUUGGGUAUAUAUGUCUAGCCACACUGCAGGGUACACAUGGAAGUCAAAGGACAGGUUUCUUUAGUUGAUUGUCUUCUUCCAACACACAGGUCCCAGGGAUCAAACUCAGGUUAUCAGGCUUGAUGGCAAGUGACUCUACCUACUGCACCAUUUUACCAGCCUCACAAUGGAUUUCAUUCAUCUGUGAACAAAAAAAGUUAUAUUCCUUGCUGGAAAGUGGAUAGAACUGAAUAUAAUCAUGGAUAGAACUGAAUAUGAUCAUGUUAAGUAAAAUACGUCACCCAGAAAAACAAAUACCCAAGUUUUUCCUCUCAUGUGCUAAGUCUAUAUGUGUAUCCAUGUAUAUAUUUAUAUUUAUAAGACAUCAAGAUAAAGCAGGACUGUUGAGAAGAGGUGAGGGAGUAGUAAUGUGGCAAGAAAAGGAGGAGGUUAAUAGGGAAAAGAUAAAUAGAACCUUUUUCUCAGAUGUGAAAUCAGAAGGGAGACUAAGUAGUGGAUAAUGGGGACGGUGAGCAUGAGUGAAGUAUGAAAUGUAAUAAUGAAGCCCACUACUUUAUAUGUUAAUUUUAAAAACAAAAUAAAAGAACUGGUCAGUAACAGUAGGACUGUUGGUCCUACAUAAGCAACGUGUAGCUCUAAAGGCUUUAGCAACCUUUUGGGGACGUUACUAUUCAUCUCUUCAGUAAUACCAUGGGGAUGACGGCCCUCUUCUCCUGGUGUGGCGGUUAUCAGGAUUAAAUAAAUGUGUCUAAAGUGCUUAGCACAGGACCUGCCUUCCAGUAGCCCCUUUCAGAUUAGUACAUAUUAAUCUUACUUCUUCGGUGUUCCCAGCAACGUUUUAAUAAAUACACUUUGCAAAUCCUGACAGUGUUGUUUACAUGAAAUGGUCAGAGAUCUCACACCUAUACAUACAAAAAGGGGGAAGGGGAUGAUGGCAAGUGACAGCUUAAAGGGCAAAGUCUUUGGGAAGUAAUAAAAACCUUCCAGAAAUAGAGAAAGGUAAUGCUGUACGUUCUUAAAGGAUCAUAAAAAUCAUUGAAUUAGACACAUUGAAAGGGUGACUUGUGUUAUGUGAAUUCUAUAUUCAUUUAAAAUAAUCCCGAAAGGAUGAAGAUAUCGCUCAUUGUCAGGUAGAAUAUAUAUUUAACAUGUGCAAGGCCCUAGGUUCUAUCUUCAGUCCCACAAAAAGAAAGGAAUGAGUAGAUAAAUGUAAGUUUUUUAAAAGGUAAGCCGGAUGGGUUGGCCUCUGUCUGUAAUCCCAGCAUUUGGGGAUGAUGCAGAAGGAUUGCUGUGAGUUUGAGAGCAGUCUAGAUUAUGUGAUGAGGUCCAGGCUAGCUUACGGAAAGAAAAGGAAUCCAAAAUACCACAUCACGUCCAAUAGAAAAAAAAUGCUUUCCUAAUUAUACCCUAUGUGGUGACACAUGCCUUUUAAUCUCAGUGCUAUACGAACUGAGUCAGGAGGAUCUUGAAUUUGGGGCUAGACUCCGCUCAGCAAACAGCCAACCAGAAUAAGGUGUACAUAAUUGUGGGUAAGAGCACAAUGACCCCGGUGCUAAUUAUACUGAGUGGCCAGGCUGGGUUCCUAACAGGAACUUGUGCACUGAUUUGGAGGUAUCAAGUUUUAUAGAUGUGCCCCAGAAAGAGUGUGGGAUUGGCUUCAAUCUCCUUGAGUGCCUUCAUCAGUCCUGGGAAUUGGGCAUCAUGAGGACAGAGAGAAUUUUCUUUCCCUCAGUGGUUCUGGGGUCACCAUUUGGUCAGCUAAUCCUCCACAGGGUCUAGAGCCUCAUUCUUGAGACGUUUGAUAAGUUUUCAGCCCCUCCUUUGGUUGUAUAGGCCAUGUCUUCAUUUUUCAAUACAAGACAGACACCAGGUACCUGUAUCAAGUGUAUAGAAGAUAUUUGAAUGGAUAUUUGUGGGUAGCAACAAAAAUAAAGUUAUGGUUGGGGGUCUCCACAGCAUGAGAAAUGGUGUUAAAGGAUCACAGUGUGAGAUGACAACGAAAAGACUGCUCAGAGGGGCCUGAAGCCAGGAGCUUCACUGGGUUCUGAGAGUAGACUUUCUAGACACCCUGACUUUCCUGUCUCCAGUUGUGCUUCCUAAUUGAUGGUUUGGCUUUUGCAACUUUGUGUCUACUGUCACUUUGUACAUUUUGAAUGCUGUUCCUCUGCUGCUCUGGGUUCCCAGAAAGCCUGGCUCAGAGGCUCCUGAACCUUUGUUUAUUCUAGACUCAGCUCUCCUAGUAGCCCGCUCAGAGGUCCAGUAACUGAGGAUUUGUUGUUCUAAAGUAGGUAUAUAGAUCACCAUUGGAUUUCUGGUGAAUGUCUGUAAUCUCAACACUCAGGAGGUGGAGGCAGGAGAACCAGGACUUCAAGGCUAGCCUCAGCUACACAGCCAAUUAGAGGCUACCUUGACUCAACUUUUCCAUACAUCUGCAUAUCUGCCCUUUGUGGCCUUCACAGUCACACAGUGUUGCUUUCAUUGAACUCUGCACAUUGUAAGUCCCAUAGGAUGGUGGAGAGUCUAGGUAACAGUACAUAUUCCACCAAUAAAGUGGAGGAGUGUCCAAUGAAUUUUACCCCAGUUUCUCAACAGACACAAACUCAUGGAGUUGUAGGGUCCUGCUGAAAUGCUGCUACCCUAAAGUUUUCCCCAGUCUUCCCAGUGGCAGUGACUGUAUACCUCUAGCAUGAAGCUGGUCCCUUUAGUUCUUUGAGUAGCAAUGACCAUUAGAGGUAUUUGGUGACCUGCACAUCUCUUUAUUUCUAGCACUUUGAAUGAGGCCAUGAUGUUUCUAUCAAUUGUCGGUUGUCACGUUCCCUCUCUAUUGGGGUUGGGCAUGAGCUAGUUGGAUCCAAAGAUUUUUCUAGAAUUUUCUCUAUGGUCGAGGCUUCAUACAGAGAGUAUAAUGUCCAGUGGGACAGCUCCCUUAGUGGAAUUGGCAGAGCAUCGGUCUUCAGAAGUCUAGAUCAGGAGCUGGGGCAACCUGGGGACCCUUGUCUAUGACAGAGAAAAGUUACGUAGGUUUGCCUGUUUCUAGAUGCAGGCUGCAGAGCAGUUCCUUAGCACCAGGCCUUUGAAUUUUAGCCUGGAAGUUGUAUGCGGGUUGGGGUAGCAUAGUGUGAGAAACCUGUCUAGCAUAUACGAGGUUCUGGUUUCCAGGAAGUAGUGGUGGGGCAAUAACAGGAAAAGGAAAGUUGGUUGAUUGACAGUAGAUAUCUUGUAAGCAAGGGAAACAUGGGUGCUGUCCUGUGUGGUGUAAGAUGUUUGGCACAUAAUCUCUUGCCUUUACCCAGCAGGUACAGCACCCUGCUCACUUGCCUUGCAACCUGAAGACGACUGCAGAGAGUGCCCAGUGUGUGCCGGGCAGUAGAUUUCUACUGGAGGAGCUCCAGUGAUCUUGAGAAAGAUGUCUAUCUCAUGACUCUUGAGAUAUCUCUGUAUGUGUGUGAUUCUAGGGCUGGGAAAGAGGAGAGCCUUGUACAUAUCACUCAGAUGCUCUACUGCCAAGACACAGCCUAGACCUUGGCAGAGAUUUUCAGAGAAAGGAUCUCUGUGUGUAUGUCAGGCUAGUCUUGAACUUAUAAGCCCCUCCUGCUUCUGCUCUGAAAUGCUAGGAUAAAAGUUUUCAAACAGCUUGUAGAUGGUUUUGUUGUUGUUGUUGUUGUUGUUGUUGUUGUUGUUUUUGUUUUUGUUUUUUUGUAGUUCCCUCUCUUGAUUUCAAUAUACUCAAACACCAAAGUUUUCUGUUUUCCUUGCUGCCUCAGGACAGAUGUGUUGGAAGAAUUGAGGUCAGGGGCCAUCUUUGUGAGUUGGUGUCAGCUCCACUCAUCUCAGACCUCCCCUGGACUCUGGUGAGCUUGGGCUGUCCUAACUGUAUAGCAAGUCACUGAGAUGGGUAGAUGUUAGGUCUUGACAGUCUCAGUGCCGAUGACUUUUAUUUUUUUUUUGUUGUUGUUGUUUGUUUGUUGUUUAAUUUGAAAAUCUUUUAUAACAAAAGUUUUAAGAAAAAAUGUGCUUUGAUGACUAGUGGAAGAUGCACUCUGUCUUAUGCCUUAAAAAUAUAUUUUAACCUGUAAUAGGAUGAAUAUCAAUAGCCAGAAACCAUAUUUAAAAAGCACAUGAAGGUCUUCAAGUGUUUUAGCAUCUAGAGUUGUAAGACCAAAAAGUUUGAUGCUUCCUUUUGCAAAAUGAUACUCAGGAGUGUGGUUUCUGCUGUGCACAGUGUUUAUCACUUUAUUGUUAUGAAGUGAUACCCAACUGUCUCCUGAAGUGGCUGUUUUGGUUCUGGCCACCAGCAGUGUACUAAAGGAGGGGCGAGUCUUUCUGUCUGGUAUUCUUAAACUAUGCUUGUCAUUUGGGGCUUUGAUAUGUUGCUUAGGCUACGACUUGGCAGGACACUUCCAUAGAGCAGGACACACAGAUUCGUAUGGUACCAACGUGGCAGGAAAGCAGUUUCCUGAUGGAGAAGGUCUUGGUUUGUUUUUUUUUUUUUCAUUCACUUAAGAAUUUAAGAGGAGGGCUCAAACCCUCUGCACUCUGUAAUUUUGGUCAAUCGUCAUUGGAUAUCUGUUAGUCUGGCAGGCAUGAGUUGCAAAAACACGAAAACAGUAUUGGAAAAGGAUGCUCUGGCUCAGGGGGAAUCCCAGGCUAGAGGCUUUGCAAACUUGACUUUAAACAUCUUUUUUCAUAGAACUUAGCACAGCUAGUGAUGCUGGG